AUGUCAAUGGAUUAUGACAGCCUUUAUUCUAAUUUAGCAAUCCUUUUGUAGAUUAUCGAAUUAUUAUAUUCUCCACAAGUAGUCAGAAAAUGUUACGUGAAAUCUAUUUUUGUUUUUACAGUAUGUUUUUGCUCCAGAUGUAAUUAAUUUAUAUUUUGUUAUACCUCUGUGGGCACUGCUUACUGUGGAACCAUUUUUUUUCUGUUUGAUUAUAGUAGCGUGAAUCACAAACAUGAGUAAAAGAUACUUCGUUAUUUCAAUAUUGCUAUUAUACCUUGUAUUUUGCUUUAUGUUCGAAAGCUCUGAAGCUGGGAAAGCAGGGAAAAUUGCAAAAACAGUUUUAAAUUUGGGCUGACAAUUUAAUUUUGUUUCUUUUGGUAAGUUUUGUUUGCUUUGUUUACUUCAGAUCAUAGGUGAUUUAAACUUGGUAAGAAUAUCUUUUGCUAAUUUUAUUUAACAUGCAUGCAUAAUCAUCCCCUUCUCCACAUGCUCUUAAAAAAAAAAGUUAAUAAUUUAAUUUUAUUCUAUGUUAAAUGUUGCUAUAGACUUACAAAAUAAUAAAAAUGACUAGGUAAAUUGAUUGAUGGACUUUGAUCUUGUUAGCAUUCAUGCAAAUGUCAGGUUUGAAAACUGUUCACUGACAUCUGCGGUCAGUCACAAUUUACUGUAAUUUUUUUUUUCAAUGUAAUCUUUAACAUUAUUGAUUCAACCACCUGUUACUAUUAUCCAUAACACAAAAUCUUUAACCAACAACGACUCUUUUGCUGUUUAACUCUUAUGAUGUGCUCAAAUAGGAGUUAUGUCUUAUUCAAUAUGUAUAUGUAAGAUUACUCUUAUAUUUACAUCCUUAGAAGUCUUCAAGGGGACACCUUUCUUUUGAGGUGCUGUGCACUGAAGAAUGAACAAAAUUAAAUUAGUUCUGCUUGAAUGUCAAAAAAAUAUUUGCUCAAAUGUAUUUUACGCUUUUUUUAAAUGAAAUUACAGGUAUUGAGCACUGAUAUAUUACAAUAAAUUGAAAACUAUGCUGAUAGAUUACAGUAAAUACAGUAUAAAAACCUCUUCGAAGCUGCAUUAAAAGUAUUAAAUUCCCCCCUUUAAAUUAUAACAGAAGUUUAUCAUACAUUACUUUAUGAUUAAUACUAAAAUGUAACAAUUGAACAUACAUUGUAAUUGUGCAUAAUCAUACUAAAAUAUCUAAGAUUCCUAGAUUUGUGGAGGUUUUACUGUAUUUAUUUUGACAUUUUUACUAAUUUAUACUUAUCAAUAAAACACUCUUUGUAGAGCAAGUGUAAUGAAAAAUGCUAUGGGCCACAAAUCUCAUAUGGGACGACGAUCAUUUCCUACAUGGGCCAUUGUCCUUCUUGUCCUUGGAUCUUCUUCAUGUGUUGGUUUGAUUAUUUUUCUUCUUUGUCUCUGGAAAAGUCGCAGGUGUCUAACGCCUUGGUCUGGGGCCGCUGUGUAAAAAGAAAAAGAAGCUGAGUACAUAAAUACAAUUUUUAGUAUUUGUAUCAAUUUCUAAUUCUUGAUCAUUCAAAGUACUCACUUAAGUAAUAUUACAUUAAUGAACCUUCAUAUUACAUUUUGAUAUUCAAUAAAGUAAUUUUUUUUUUCUAAAAGCUCCCUGAAAGCAUUUCCCACUUAACAUGGUCAUUGAAAAAAAUUAUCGGAUAAAUCUUAAAUAAUCGGAUAGAAUUUAAACAUGCUGCAGUGCUCAAGCCCCCCCCCCCCCCCCAGCUCAAAAAAAAAAAAAAAGGAGUUGAACACCAUAAUAUUAUCUUUUAAAGGGAAUUUUAUAAAAUUAACAUAAUUUUUAAUUUAAAAGGCAUGAAAAUACAAACCAUUACUAUUUUUUACACCCAUUAAUAACCCUUUAAGAUCCAUAAGCUUUUAAGGUAGAGAUCAGACAUUUUUUAUGCAUGAAUAUAUUAAAUGUUACAGUCAGUAAUACAUAUCUAGUUAUGAAAAUUGGUUAGAUUUUGUAUAAAUUGGUGAUCCAUUAGAGAUGCAGACCAAUUUUUUAAACCUUGGUUAAUUUAUUAAAUUAAAAAAUAUUUGGAUAAUUAAGAGCAUUAGCUACAUUUAACCUUCAACUAAGAUGUAAUCUUGGAUAAAAGUUGGAGUGUGACAGUACUAAUAUAUUUUCAAUUAACGCAUUUCACAGUUGCAAUAUUCUCAAGAUAAAAUAACGGUUUAUUUUUUAAAUUGUCUUUUUUCACUAAUAUUGAAAUCCUGAUGUCUCAAUGGCAUUUGAAAAAAUGUAAUUUAUGAAUUAUUUGCAUUCAGUAAUUUAUAAAACAACUUUUGAACCUGGGGGUCACAUAUGUCAGUUGGACCUAAAACGGUUAAUAAAUGAGCUUUCGUAUGGCUAACACAGGUUAAUUUUUUUUUAAAUCAGAUAAACAUCACAUUGGGUAGAGGUUGCAAUACAAAAAGUAUCCUAACCAGACGGCUGAUGCUUUUCUUAUCCAAGUCUAGUCACUAUUCUGACCCUUGCAGUAGUCUUCAAAACUGACCAAUUUGUUCAUGUGACCUCAACUCUUGUGAGUACUUCCUCUUGGUAUUUUUGAAAUUGGUAGUGGGGAAAAAAUUCAAAAUUGAGGUAUAGAAGAACAUAUUAUCAACCACAGUAAGUGUGUGAAAAGGCAAUUAAAAAAUUUCUCAUUUCGAGGAAAGUGCCGCAAAACCAAGUCUAAAACGAUGGUUGCUAAAAUUUGUAUUUCCUACUUCAAUUGGAACAUUUACCCAGUGUAAUGGUGUAAAAUUGUUUUCUAUUUCGUAAUUAUAUACUGUUUUUCUAAAAAAGUAAAUGCAUCUUUAUUUGCAGGCUCUUUAUACACAGUAAUAUUAAGUUGCUAUAACAUGAAAUGAUUUCUUUCAAGUUAAAAUUUAAGCAUUUGAAUCUUACAGAUUGUCAGUUUGUACUCCAGCUUUCCGUGAAUUUUCAAACCUUUAUUUGUAUAACAGUGCCAAAGCUUUCAUUAUUUGUUUUGUAAAUAGUCAUUAAUAAUGAAAUGGUCACUAGUCCUCUUUUAUAAGAUUUAUUUAUUUUUUGGCAUGAUAGAACUAUUAGACUUAUGCAAAAAAUAAAAGUCUCGUCUCAUACUUCUCAUGUGAAAACGUUAUAGCACUAAAUUAUUUGGCAUAGAAAAAUAGUUUGUACAUUUGUUUUGCUUUUUGUACAAGAAUUUAAUGUAGUGUCUAUUGCAUUUAAUGUUAUUAAACCUAACAUGAAAGUUGUAAAUUUUGUUUAUUAUAAUUCACAAAACCCAUGUCAAACUCACUAUUUUAAGAUGAAAACGAGUUGAUCAUCUGACUUUUUAUAAGUUUUUAUAAGUGUUUUAUGAAUACUUAGUUUAUAGCGAAAAUUCGUUUAUAUUUUGUAAACUUGGAUUUUGUAAAUUUUUAGGACUUCUCAGUGAAAAUUUUUCAGAAAUGUAGGCCAACAUUCAUGCUUAAAAUGAAAACUUUUCGAUUCAUAACAUUACAAAUGAGUUCUUCGUCAAUUUAAAAGUUUUUAAAAUAGGAAAUUUUAUUAGAAUCUUUAUUUUUCUAAUUGCAUAAUUUAAAACUUUUUGAUUAUCUAUUUAUAUGUAUAUGUACGUAUACACAGAAACUUAUAAUCAUAUACAUGAAUUUUAAAUUCUGUCACAAGGUCACACAUGUUUUGUUAACAAUUUAGAUUGAAACAAAAUAAAAAUCAAAUACUCGUUAAGUUAUUGGAUGUUUUCUAAGAAACAUUCUUUAAAAAGAAAAACCCACCCAAAUUGCUUCAAUGAUUGUUACAGAGAUAUACUUUUUAAAACUGUGUUCUUCUAUUUUAUACACAUAGUUUAAGAAAUGUUAACUCUUACCUUAUGAUGAAAACUACGUUUCCGAAUCAUUUAAAUAUCCACUACAUAAUUUUUAAUAUGAUUAAUGGUUAUUUUAAUCAAAUACCAAAAAAGCCAAAUCUAUAUAAAUGUUUUCUACUUCAGUAUUACUCUUCCCUAAAUACAUAUGUAUAAUAAACAAUUAUAGCUUUCAUUAAAGACUAUUUUGUAUUCUGAUUGAUGUUGACUUUAAACAUGCAAAAAUAAUUGUGCUUAAUAUAUAUUUGAACAAAAUGUUAGUUUUUAUAAUGAUAUUCAUAUAAAAGUCAUCUUCUACAUAUUUAUAAAUAAUAUACAAUAUCAACCAUUAACCUGGUAAGUUAUAUUGGUUUUUAUCAAGUUAGAUUUUAUUUCUAGCAGAAACAUGUAUGAAAUAAUCAAAGAUGUAGCUAUAAAAAUAUAUUUGUUAGAAAAUUAACUGCUAGGUAAAGUUUCUUCCAAACACUAAAUCAGUUCCACCGGGAAAAUAUAUUAUUUUAUAACAAAAUCAUAAUAGCAUGAAAAAAGGGUAUUUUAAAAAAAAUUUAUUGAAAAUUUAAUAAUUAGUCAUGAGGAAAUUUUUCUGAUUACUAUACAAUCUAUGCAUUUCUAAAAUCAUAACACAGAUCAUUAAUAUAAUGUGAAUUUCUGAAAGAGAAAAGUAAUUCCACCGAAAAUAUGACGAUAUAAUUAAAGUCAUGUCUUGAAACAUUACAAUAUUUUACAUAAUUGAAUCCCACCUCUAUUUUAUACUGUACAGCACCUGUAUUUUGUACUGUGCAUGUGCAUAUUUGUGAUAUAUUUAUAUGUUAAAAAUAUAAUUGAUAUAUAAGAGUAUAAAUUGCAAUGAAUUGAUGAAUUAAAUGUUUAUUGCCAUAAAUUAUCCAUCACAUGUUUGUUAUUUGUUAUAUCAUGUUUAAGUGAAAAAUAAAAGUAUAUUAACCGUAAAGACUUA